AUUUUUCAGUGGUAGUCUCAGGUGAUGGUUCAUUUGGUCCUCCAUUGUCAUCAACUUGUUCUUCUUCUUUCUUCUUAUCUUCAUCCUCUUGGACUCCUUCAGGGCCUUGCACUUGCUUACCUGUUCUUAAAGUAAUAGCACUUACAUUUUGCGGGUUGAUCAUUGUUUGUGCAGGCAGCUUAUUUGACUCCUUAGCCUCUAACUUUUCCACCCUCUGAGUCAAAUCUACAAUUGAUUUCUUGAUC
rnacentral:lncRNA from 1 species